rnacentral:rRNA from 1 species
UACAGAGGUCUCAAGCGUUGUUCGGAUUCAUUGGGCGUAAAGGGUGCGUAGGUGGCAGGGUAAGUCAGGUGUGAAAUCUCGGGGCUCAACCCCGAAACUGCACUUGAUACUGCCUUGCUUGAGUACUGGAGAGGAGAUUGGAAUUUACGGUGUAGCAGUGAAAUGCGUAGAUAUCGUAAGGAAGACCAGUGGCGAAGGCGAAUCUCUGGACAGUUACUGACACUGAGGCACGAAGGCCAGGGGAGCAAACGGG